GCCUAAAGCGUCCGUAGCCGGCUUUGUAAGUUUUCGGUUAAAUCCAUGUGCUCAACAUAUGGGCUGCCGGAAAUACUGUAAAGCUAGGGAGUGGGAGAGGUAGACGGUACUCCGUAGGAAGGGGUAAAAUCCUUUGAUCUAUGGAUGACCACCAGUGGCGAAGGCGGUCUACCAGAACACGUUCGACGGUGAGGGAUGAAAGCUGGGGGAGCAAACCGGAUUAGAUACCCGGGUAGUCCCAGCUGUAAACUAUGCAAACUCAGUGAUGCAUUGGCUUGUGGCCAGUGCAGUGCCGCAGAGAAGUCGUUAAGUUUGCCGCCUGGGAAGUACGUACGCAAGUAUGAAACUUAAAGGAAUUGGCGGGGGAGCACCACAAGGGGUGAAGCCUGCGGUUCAAUUGGAGUCAACGCCAGAAAUCUUACCCGGAGAGACAGCAGAAUGAAGGUCAGGCUGAAGACUUUACCAGACAAGCUGAGAAGUGGUGCAUGGCCGUCGCCAGCUCGUGCCGUGAGGUGUCCUGUUAAGUCAGGUAACGAGCGAGAUCCUUGCCUCUAGUUGCUACCAUUACUCUCAGGAGUUGUGGGGCGAAUUAGCGGGACUGCCGUAGUUAAUACGGAGGAAGGAGAGGGCCACGGCAGGUCAGUAUGCCCCGAA
rnacentral:rRNA from 1 species